rfam:Triticum aestivum genome assembly, contig: Triticum_aestivum_CS42_TGACv1_scaffold_328657_4BS
GACAGGAAGAGGAAGAAAGAGAGAGCUCAAGAGCAAUAGGAAUGGGAACAUGGAGGAAAGACCUACUUGUUUGUUUGCACCUCUAGUGUUGAAGGUGCAGAUAUUUGGCAUGAAUCAUUUCCUGAUGCCUCCCAUUCCUACCAUUCUUGUGCACUCCUUCCUCUUCCUUUUGGCU